UCGGAUUGUAGUCUGCAACUCGACUACAUGAAGCUGGAAUCGCUAGUAAUCGCGAAUCAGAAUGUCGCGGUGAAUACGUUCCCGGGUCUUGUACACACCGCCCGUCACACCAUGGGAGUCAGUAACGCCCGAAGCCGGUGACCCAACCGAUAAGGAGGGAGCCGUCGAAGGUGGGACCGAUAACUGGGGUGAAGUCGUAACAAGGUAAC
rnacentral:rRNA from 1 species